rnacentral:rRNA from 1 species
AGAGUUUGAUCCUGGCUCAGAUUGAACGCUGGCGGCAGGGCCUACCCAUGCAAGUCGAGCGGUAACACAAGGGAGCUUGCUCCUGAGGUGACGAGCGGCGGACGGGUGAGUAAUGCCUAGGGAUCUGCCCAGUCGAGGGGGAUAACAGUUGGAAACGACUGCUAAUACCGCAUACGCCCUACGGGGGAAAGGAGGGGACCUUCGGGCCUUCCGCGAUUGGAUGAACCUAGGUGGGAUUAGCUAGUUGGUGAGGUAAUGGCUCACCAAGGCGACGAUCCCUAGCUGUUCUGAGAGGAUGAUCAGCCACACUGGGACUGAGACACGGCCCAGACUCCUACGGGAGGCAGCAGUGGGGAAUAUUGCACAAUGGGGGAAACCCUGAUGCAGCCAUGCCGCGUGUGUGAAGAAGGCCUUCGGGUUGUAAAGCACUUUCAGUAGGGAGGAAAGGUAAUAGUUUAAUAAACUAUUACUGUGACGUUACCUACAGAAGAAGGACCGGCUAACUCCGUGCCAGCAGCCGCGGUAAUACG